rnacentral:rRNA from 1 species
GCUUGUCUCAAAGAUUAAGCCAUGCAUGUCUAAGUAUAAAUCUUUUACUUUGAAACUGCGAACGGCUCAUUAUAUCAGUUAUAGUUUAUUUGAUAGUCCCUUACUACUUGGAUAACCGUAGUAAUUCUAGAGCUAAUACAUGCGUCAAUACCCUUCUGGGGUAGUAUUUAUUAGAUUGAAACCAACCGCUUCGGCGUGAUGUGGUGAUUCAUAAUAAAUUUGCGAAUCGCAUGGCUUUACGCCGGCGAUGGAUCAUUCAAGUUUCUGCCCUAUCAGCUUUCGAUGGUAGUGUAUUGGACUACCAUGGCAGUAACGGGUAACGAAGAAUUAGGGUUCGAUUUCGGAGAGGGAGCAUGAGAAACGGCUACCACAUCUAAGGAAGGCAGCAGG